GACGAACGCUGGCGGCGUGCUUAACACAUGCAAGUCGAACGAAGUGGCGAACGGGUGAGUAACGCGUAAUCAACCUGCCCUUCAGAGGGGGACAACAGUUGGAAACGACUGCUAAUACCGCAUACUGAAGGAGGGGAUUGCGUCUGAUUAGCGAGUUGGAGGGGUAACGGCCCACAAAGGCGAGGAUCAGUAGCCGGGCUGAGAGGAUGAACGGCCACACUGGGAAUGGGACACGGCCCAGACUCCUACGGGAGGCAGCAGUGGGGAAUCUUCCGCAAUGGAGGAAAGUCUGACGGGGCAACGCCCCGUGAGUGAUGACGGGCUUCGGGUUGUAAAGCUCUGUUAAUCGGGACGCGGUACCGGAAUAGAAAGCCACGGCUAACUACGUGCCAGCAGCCGCGGUAAUUC
rnacentral:rRNA from 1 species